UACGAAGGGGGCUAGCGUUGCUCGGAAUCACUGGGCGUAAAGGGUGCGUAGGCGGGUCUUUAAGUCAGGGGUGAAAUCCUGGAGCUCAACUCCAGAACUGCCUUUGAUACUGAGGAUCUUGAGUUCGGGAGAGGUGAGUGGAACUGCGAGUGUAGAGGUGAAAUUCGUAGAUAUUCGGAAGAACACCAGUGGCGAAGGCGGCUCACUGGACCGGUAUUGACGCUGAUGCGCGAAAGCGUGGGGAGCAAACAGG
rnacentral:rRNA from 1 species